GGGGGCCCAGCUGGGCAGAUUGGGGUGUCAAAGCCAAAGGCACGGGCAGCGAUGUCCUUGUGGUUCCUCUCUGGAUGUUUAGCCUCUAAGCAUGAUGCUAGGACCCCCCCAGCGGGUCUGAGGGGUCCAAAUAUCCUUUAACAAGUGCCCUUUCUGUUUACGUCAGCCAGAAUACCUUUCUAUUGCUUUGAAUUCUGUUCAGUUCUAUUGUAAUGAAAGACCCUGACUUGUCCCUCACUCUUUUUCAAUUUCUGGGUUUUUUCCUUACUCUAAUAUCCCUUUAAAAUACACUUACUAAAAAAAUUAAUUGAUGUACAGCAAAAUAUUAAGUAAAUGAAAAGAUCUUUCAAAUUAUGACCCAAAAAUCCAGAAGCCACAAAAGAUUGGACAAUAUCUAUUAAAGCUGCAAAGGCAUGUGUCCUUUGACCCAAAAAUCCCACUUUGGGGCAUUUAUCCUACCCCUCUCCUGUUCAAUUAAUGUAGCCUGGAGAGUAAAGAUCUUCCCGGUUGGAACAGAGAAGCCUCCUCAUCUCCCCCCUCCUCUGUUUUCUACAGGAGAGUCUCCCAUUGUGCGGACAGGCCACAGCUCCUCGAGCCGGCCCCCUCGUGGGGAACACUUGAGUUGCUCCCCAUCUUUUGCUGUUGUAGUCGGUCAAUACCUCAUCCACGUGCCGGCUCAUAUGCACAAAGUGGAGCAUCCGUGCACUACAUCAAGGGAGAAAUCAAGAUACAGAACCGUCUAUAGGCAUAUGUUAUGUUUUGCACAAGAAGGAGGGAAAAUCAGAAUAUGUCUUCAUCCUUGGUAUACUUCCAUAAAGAUACUCUGGAAGGACAGACAAAAACCUAACAACCUUACCAGCCUCUUGUGGUUGGUGGGGGCUGGGGACCUGGAUGACAGUGCAGAGUGGGAGAGAGACCUCCUCUUUCACCUUCUAGCCUUGUUUUGCUUUUAGAACCACGUGAUUGUAUUACUCGGUUUAAAACAACGACAGCAGAAAGCGUAAACAAGUGCAGCCAUGGAGCCAACAGGGCGCUGGGGAGAGAAUGGAGGUGACACUUGCGAAUUCGGACGCCCGCCCCGCGGUGUGCAUGAGAGAAGAGUCCAGAGGGGCCUGCCCGAGCUCUGGAACAGUCAAGGGACAGGCCACAUUGGCCCCGUGACAUCUUAUAGAUGUCACCUGUUCCUGCCAGUGCAGCCACGAUCAGCCCCACACACGGGAAGGCAGCAGAGCAGCCCGAGCCUGUGUUCCCGGCACUCUGUGGAGGCUGAGCUGGGCACACAUCUUCAGGUCACCCCUCUGCAGCCCGACUGGGG
rnacentral:lncRNA from 1 species